rnacentral:rRNA from 1 species
AUGGAGAUUUUUGAGUUUGUUAGAGAUAUUGACUGUUUUCCAAAUGUUUUAAUUGCUUAUCGAAUUAUGUUCACUGUACCAAUGACCGUAGCAUCAGCAGAGCGUAGCUUUUCAAAGUUGAAAUUGUUAAAGAACUAUUUGAGGUCAACAAUGUCACAAGAAAGAUUAAAUGGUCUUGCUACUUUAUGUAUUGAGAAAGAUAAGUUGGAUGAAAUAAAUGUUGAUGCAAUAAUCGAUGACUUUGCUUCUAGAAGUGUUAGACGAAUUUCCAAGUUCUAG